UCUUCCUCUGCGGUCGCUCGUUCACUAUUCCUCUCCCUCUGUGGUCCCUCGUUCUCUGAUCAUCGUACACCAUCGUUGGUUCUCUGCUCCUCACCGUGCGUUGUCGCUACUGCUCUGUUCCUCCCCGUGUCUCGCGGUCGUUGGUGGGUGGUCUCGCCGUGUCUUGCUUCCGUGUCUGCUCGAAGUCAAAGCAACAUUUUUUCUCUUGUCUGGACUCACUCCGGCUCUCUGCUUUAGUUCGGUAGUUCAAUUCAGGUCAACCUGCUAAUAUAAUCACUUACACUUCCUUGUUGGAUGGGAUGUUCAAUAUCAAACAAGUUGACAAGGCAUUUGUGUUAUUUAAUCAAAUGAAAAAGAGUGGCAUUGACCCGAAUAUAGAUCGAUGGGCUCUGCAAAGAGGGCUUAUUUGAAGAAGCAUUGGCCCUGAUGUCAAAAAUGGAAGACAAUGGUUGCUUACCAAAUGCUGUGACUUUUGAAAUUGUUAUUCGUGCUUUGUUUGAAAAUGGUGAGAAUGACAUGGCAGAGAAACUUCUUCGGGAAAUGAUUGCUAGAGGCUUAUUGAACGGAUGAAUGAAGGUAAAAUACAUCAACUCAAAUUGAAAUCACCUCUCUAUUGUUGCAGAAUAUGUAUCAUAGUUCUGUAAAUUCUAUAUCUGUUGGGUCACAGAACUUUGGCAAUGCCAUAACAUCAAUACCAUUGAUGUCUUGACUAUCUCAUUUUUAUUCAAUUAAUUUUGAACUUUCAAUUUUUGUAA